rnacentral:rRNA from 1 species
AGUGAACGCUGGCGGUAGGCCUAACACAUGCAAGUCGAACGGCAGCACAGUAAGAGCUUGCUCUUACGGGUGGCGAGUGGCGGACGGGUGAGGAAUACAUCGGAAUCUACUUUUUCGUGGGGGAUAACGUAGGGAAACUUACGCUAAUACCGCAUACGACCUACGGGUGAAAGCAGGGGAUCUUCGGACCUUGCGCGAUUGAAUGAGCCGAUGUCGGAUUAGCUAGUUGGCGGGGUAAAGGCCCACCAAGGCAACGAUCCGUAGCUGGUCUGAGAGGAUGAUCAGCCACACUGGAACUGAGACACGGUCCAGACUACUACGGGAGGCAGCAGUGGGGAAUAUUGGACAAUGGGCGCAAGCCUGAUCCAGCCAUACCGCGUGGGUGAAGAAGGCCUUCGGGUUGUAAAGCCCUUUUGUUGGGAAAGAAAAGCAGCAGGUUAAUACCCCGCUGUUCUGACGGUACCCAAAGAAUAAGCACCGGCUAACUUCGUG